rnacentral:rRNA from 1 species
CCUACGGGAGGCAGCAGUGAGGAAUAUUGGUCAAUGGACGAGAGUCUGAACCAGCCAAGUAGCGUGAAGGAUGACUGCCCUAUGGGUUGUAAACUUCUUUUAUAUGGGAGUAAAAUGUUCCACGUGUGGGAUUUUGUAUGUACCAUAUGAAUAAGGAUCGGCUUACUCCGUGCCAGCAGCCGCGGGUAUAAAGAGGAGCCGGCCGUUAUCCUGAUUUAUUGGGUUUAAAGGGAGCGUAGGUGGAUUGUUAAGGCAGUUGGGAAAGUUUAGGGCGCAACCGUAAAAUUGCAGUUUAAACUGGAAGUCUUGAGUACAGUAGAGGUGGGCGGAAUUCGUGGUGUAGCGGUGAAAGGCUUAGAUAUCACGAAGAACUCCGAUUGCGAAGGCAGUUCACUGGACUGCAACUGACACUGAGGCUCGAAAGUGUGGGUAUCAAACAGGAUUAGAUACCCUUGUAGUC